UUUUCAGAUCUGACUAUCGCCUGUGUAUUAAUUACACAGGAGGAAAGUCCGGGCUCCAUAGAGAAUAGUGCCGGGUAACGCCCGGGCACCUAUUAAUUAGGUGACAGAUAGUGCCACAGAGAUAUACCGCCUUAGAUUAAACUUUGUUUUUUUAAGGUAAGGGUGAAAAGGUAGAGUAAGAGCCUACCGGGAUAUUAGUAAUAUUAUUCGUCAAGGUAAACCUCACUAGGAGCAAAGUCAAGCAGUAAUGAGGAGUUUCUCGCUCCUAUUAAGUUACGGGUAGACUGCUAGAUUAACAGAGUAAUCUGUUAAGUAGAUAGAUGAUAGUUUAUUACAGAACUCGGCUUAUAGAUCUGAUUUUUUA
rnacentral:RNase_P_RNA from 1 species